rnacentral:rRNA from 1 species
CUACGGGCUGCUGCAGUGAGGAAUAUUGCACAAUGGGGGGAACCCUGAUGCAGCAACGCCGCGUGGAGGAUGACGCAUUUCGGUGUGUAAACUCCUUUUAUAUGUCAAGAAAAUGACGGUAGCAUAUGAAUAAGCACCGGCUAACUCCGUGCCAGCAGCCGCGGUAAUACGGAGGGUGCAAGCGUUACUCGGAAUCACUGGGCGGAAAGGACGCGUAGGCGGGUUGGAAAGUCAGGUGUGAAAUCCUACAGCUUAACUGUAGAACUGCACUUGAAACUUCUAAUCUAGAGUAUGGGAGGGGGAGAUGGAAUUAGUGGUGUAGGGGCAAAAUCCGUAGAUAUCACUAGGAAUACCUAAAGCGAAGGCGAUCUCCUGGAACAUUACUGACGCUAAGGCGUGAAAGCGUGGGGAGCAAACAGGAUUAGAUACCCCUGUAGUC